GGCUCGUUGGUCUAGGAGUAGGAUUCUCGCUUCGGGUGCGAGAGGUCCCGGGUUCAAAUCCUGGACGAGCCC
rnacentral:tRNA from 1 species